rnacentral:rRNA from 1 species
AUGGCGGCGGAGAGGGUCAAGGGCGUCGGCAUCCUCGCCAUGGACAUCUACUUCCCGUCCAACUGCGUCCUCCAAGUUACUACACUUCACUCACACAUCCACCACACCACCAUCUCUCAUCUCCCUCUGAAUCUCAUUGCGCCGCCGCCCAUGUUCUCCUGUCACUCUACUAAAUUGCUAGGGAGAACCCCAAAAAAGCAGAGGGUCAGGGUUCACGCCGUGCAUUGUCAAUCUUGUUCUGUUGUUGUCAAUCUUGUCUGUUGGUUAAGAAUUUUUACCCGCAUGUACUAUUGUGCAUUAUUGCAGUUAUCAACGAACAAGAAUGAUCUACAAGGAUGA